rnacentral:rRNA from 1 species
GACGUAGGUGGCGAACGUUAUCCGGAAUUAUUGGGCGUAAAGGGUGCGUAGAUGGCUUGAUAAGUUAGCAGUGGGAAAUCGAGGCUCAACCUCGUGGAAGCUGGUAAUACUGUCAGGCUCGAGUGCAGGAGAGGUUAACGGACUCCAUGUGGAGCGGUAAAUGUGUAGAUAUAUGGAAGAACACCAAUAACGGCGAAGGCAGUUAACUAUUCUGUUACUGACAUUGAGGCACGAAAGCGUGGGGAGCAAAACGG